UAACUGAUUUAGGUGACCCAAUGUUC
rnacentral:piRNA from 1 species